rnacentral:rRNA from 1 species
UACGUAGGGGGCAAGCGUUGUCCGGAAUCAUUGGGCGUAAAGCGCGCGUAGGCGGCCAGAUAAGUCCGGUGUGAAAGUCACAGGCUCAACCUGUGAAUGCCGCUGGAAACUGUCUGGCUUGAGUCCGGAAGGGGCGAGUGGAAUUCCGUGGUGUAGCGGUGAAAUGCGCAGAUAUCAGGAGGAACACCAAUGGCGAAGGCAGCUCGCUGGAACGGUACUGACGCUGAGGCGCGAAAGCGUGGGAGCGAACAGG